CCUACGGGUGGCAGCAGUAGGGAAUUUUCGUCAAUGGGCGCAAGCCUGAACGAGCGAUGCCGCGUGAGUGAAGAAGGCCUUCGGGUCGUAAAGCUCUGUUGCGGGGGAAAAAAGGCAGCAUCAGGAAAUGGGUGCUGACUGAUGGUGCCCCGCCAGAAAGUCACGGCUAACUACGUGCCAGCAGCCGCGGUAAUACGUAGGUGGCGAGCGUUAUCCGGAUUUAUUGGGUUUAAAGGGUGCGCAGGCGGAUUUUUAAGUCAGCGGUCAAAUCGUGGGGCUCAACCCCAUCCAGCCGUUGAAACUGGGGAUCUAGAGUGUGCGAGAGGUAUGCGGAAUGCGUGGUGUAGCGGUGAAAUGCAUAGAUAUCUGGAGGAACAUCAGUGGCGAAGGCGACUAUCUGGCACAUAACUGACGCUGAGGAGCGAAAGCGUGGGUAGCAAACAGGAUUAGAUACCCGAGUAGUC
rnacentral:rRNA from 1 species